GGAUGUGGGGGCGAUCUGGCUGUGACAUGUCACACCGUUGACUGCCAGGGUUGAUGCAGCUGAUCUGGCUGGCUAGGCAGGUGUCCCCUUCCUCCCUCACGACUCCAUGUGCGUCCCUCCUAGAGCUGCGCUCUCAGUUGAAGAGGAUGGCUACCCUUGAUAGAGGAGGACCGUUUCCUCAGUCUAGGUUAUACAAGCACCUGUGCUCCCCUGCUAGAACCUCCAGAGACGCUCUCAAGGAGGCUGAAGCAGGAGGGUUAAAGUUUGACUUUGUCUCAGAAGGGCUGAGGAUACAGCUCAGU
rfam:Fukomys damarensis contig143049, whole genome shotgun sequence.